rnacentral:rRNA from 1 species
AGAGAUGUGUGAUGACGCAUAUCAAUAAGCGGAGGAAAAGAAACUAACAAGGAUUCCCUUAGUAACGGCGAGUGAAGCGGGAGGAGCUCAAAUUUGAAAUCUUCAAGGUUCUACCUUGACGAAUUGUAGUUUAUAGAAGUGUUUUCUGUUAGUGGAGUGGCAAAAGUUCUUUGGAAUAGGACAUCAUAGAGGGUGAGAAUCCCGUAUUUGGUCAUUCCUCCUAGCGUUGUGAUACACUUUCAACGAGUCGGAUUGUUUGGGAAUGCAGUCCAAAAUGGGUGGUAAAUUUCAUCUAAAGCUAAAUAUUGGCGAGAGACCGAUAGCGAACAAGUACCGUGAGGGAAAGAUGAAAAGAACUUUGAAAAGAGAGUUAAACAGUACGUGAAAUUGUCAAAAGGGAAGCGUUUGACACCAGUGUUGUUUUUCCGAAAAUCAAUUACGAAUGUUUUAUUUUUGAGAAGUUAUGACUUCAUCGGCUUGCUUCUCUCUUUAUGAAACUUUCUUAAUGCACUUUUCGGUUAACAAGUCAACAUCAAUUUCUUUUGUUGUAAAAGGGUAUGAGGAAGGUGGCUUUCUUUUCGGAGAAAGUGUUUAUAGCCUUGUACUUCUGCAAUCGGAGAGAUUGAGGUCUGCAGCGUAGAUCCUUCGGGGUUAGAUACACUUGUGCUAAGUUAUAGCUUUUCAUAGACAACUUGUUGAUUAUGUUAAGUCUUGUAGCUUACUCGCUUGUGCUAUUUUACCUACGCUUAGGAUGUUGACGAUCAGCUGAGCGCG